rfam:Felis catus isolate Cinnamon breed Abyssinian chromosome F2, whole genome shotgun sequence.
ACCUGGGUGGCUCAGUCGGUUAAGCAUCCGACUUCAGCUCAGGUCACGAUCUCGUGUUUCGUGGGUUCGAGCCCCACAUCAGGCU